CUCUGUUAGUAUCACUGGGUGUUGCUUCGUGCCGUCAGCCCGUCAGCAGACGGUGCGUGCCGCGGACGGGCUCGGUGCCGGCCACAUGCAUGACGGAACGUCGGAACGUGAUCAUAUAUUCUGCAUCAUGUACGUGGAGGAAACUGCAUGCGUCUGCGCCCACGAGGCAGCGCGCAUGGCUUCCCACUCCCAAAGUUUCAGUUCCGCAUGCAUGCACGUGCUGUAUCUGCAUGUCGAUCGGGGGCUCGGGGCCCGCCCGCCUGGCCGCCGACGCCGGUGAGGAAGCCAAGUUCGCUAGUGCUACGGCUUGCCGUCUUCUUCGGCGGACUUCAAUGGAUCCAGUAGCAUGG
rnacentral:lncRNA from 1 species